UAAAACUAAACGAUCGUAAGUGAAACGGAGAAGUUGAAUCUGGGCUUAGCACAGGCCAAUGAAAGAUUGGAGAAUUUGAACAAAAAACAAGAUGAGCAGGCGGAGACUCUUUCAUGGUUGAAGGAUGAAGUCGAGGUUUUCCGUUAUGAAGUUAAUAUGGGAUCAGAUUUGGCUAAAUUACAUGAAAACCUUUCCAAGACGCGUCAAGAUGUUUUUAAUUUAUCCACUAAAGUAAAGGAUGGCAAUGAUGACACCAAGAGGUACUUGCAAGAAAUCCGCCAGAAGAUAAACCUACAGCAUAGCGAAACGAUGAAAUCUCUUCAAGAGGUUCGCAUAGAUUGGGCAGAUAGGAAUUUUGAUAGUCCCUUAGCAAGCACUUUAAGGUAAGAUUGGG